UAGCCAACCAAGUAUUAAAGGCAACGCCUGCCCAGUGAAAAUUAAACGGCCGCGGUACCCUAACCGUGCAAAGGUAGCAUAAUCAUUUGUCUAUUAAUUGUAGACCUGUAUGAAAGGCAAAAUGAGAGCCCAACUGUCUCUUAUAACAAAUCAAUUAAACUGAUCUUCUAGUACAAAAGCUAGAAUACUAACAUAAGACCAGAAGACCCUGUGAAGCUUUAACUAACCUAUUAAGCCUAAUAAUAGCCACUUUAGGUUGGGGCGACCUUGGAAUAAAAAAGAACUUCCAAUCUAUGACUUCCUCAUAAACAAGGCGAACAAGCCACACCAGACCCAGUAUAACUGACAAUUGAAAUAAGUUACUCCAGGGAUAACAGCGCUAUCUUCUUUAAGAGCCCAUAUCAAAAAGAAGGUUUACGACCUCGAUGUUGGAUCAGGACACCCCAGUAAUGCAACCGUUACUAAAGGUUCGUUUGUUCAACGAUUAACAGUCCUACGUGAUCUGAGUUCAGACCGGAGCAAUCCAG
rnacentral:rRNA from 1 species